GAUUACGCAUGCAAGUCGAACGCGAAAGGGGUAGCAAUACCCCGAGUAAAGUGGCGAACGGGUGAGUAACGCGUAGGAAACCUGCCUUCGAGUGGGGGAUAACAUUCCUAACGGGGUGCUAAUACCGCAUGACACUGCGAGGUCGCAUGGCUUUGCAGUCAAAGGUGGCCUCUAUUUAUAAGCUACCGCUCAAAGGAUGGUCCUGCGUCCCAUUAGCUAGUUGGCGGGGUAACGGCCCACCAAGGCAUCGAUGGGUAGCCGAUCUGAGAGGAUGACCGGCCACACUGGGACUGAGAUACGGCCCAGACUCCUACGGGAGGCAGCAGUCGAGAGGCUUCGGCAAUGGGGGAAACCCUGACCGAGCGACGCCGCGUGGAGGAUGAAGGCCCUUGGGUUGUAAACUCCUGUCAUGUGGGAAGAAACCUCACGGCGUGAAUAAUGCCGUUGAGCUGACGGUACCACAAGAGGAAGCUCCGGCUAACUCCGUGCCAGCAGCCGCGGUAAUACGGGGGGAGCAAACGUUUGUUCGGAAAUCACUGGGCGUAAAGGGCCGUGUAGGCGGCUGAAUAAGUGGGAGUGUUAAAAUCCCC
rnacentral:rRNA from 1 species